AACUAACAAGGAUUCCCCUAGUAACGGCGAGUGAAGCGGGAUGAGCUCAAAUUUAAAAUCUGGCUGCCUCAGGUGGUCCGAGUUGUAGUCUCGAGAAGUGUUUUCCGCGUUGGCCUGUGUACAAGUCCUUUGGAAUAAGGCGUCAUAGAGGGUGAGAAUCCCGUCCUUGACACAGAUCCCCAAUGCUUUGUGAUGCGCUCUCAAAGAGUCGAGUUGUUUGGGAAUGCAGCUCAAAAUGGGUGGUAAAUUCCAUCUAAAGCUAAAUAUUGGCGAGAGACCGAUAGCGAACAAGUACCGUGAGGGAAAGAUGAAAAGCACUUUGGAAAGAGAGUUAAACAGUACGUGAAAUUGUUGAAAGGGAAACGAUUGAAGUCAGUCAUGCUCGUAGGGAUUCAACCGGUUCUGCCGGCCUAUUUCCCUACUUGCAGGCCAGCAUCAGUUUUGACCGGUGGAAAAGGUUGGAGGGAAUGUGGCAUCCUCGGAUGUGUUAUAGCCCUCUUUCGCAUACAUCGGUUGGGACUGAGGAACGCAGCACGCCUUUAUGGUCGGUCUUCGGACACGUACGUGCUUAGGAUGCUGGCAUAAUGGCUUUAAACGACCCGUCUUGAAC
rnacentral:rRNA from 1 species